GCAACAGAGGUUCUGUAAGAGGUCUUUAUACAGAGAGAAGGACUUGUAGAGCAGAUGAAGAUAUAUCAGGUAUCUUGCACCUAGAAGUCUUCAAGCAACUAUUCCAUGAUUACUUGUUGAAGCUAUGGUACAAAGGACUUCUGUUCAGGGCUCUUAGAUCUUGACACUGUGCAUUCAUCUCUGACUGUAUGAUCUCAGAGAUCUUGUCAAGGCUGCUAGUCCCUGAUGUCAUCACACUGUCACUCAUCCUGCUGGUUUCACUAGUAACUCCAGAACAGUCCUUCAUUGCUGUUAUCUCAAUUGGAAAGCUUGCUCCAUCCUUCAACUGUUCGGGUCUAUUAUUCUUUAACUGGAUAUAACUUUAUUACAACAUAGAACUGUGAUCAGAAUUUCUUUUGCCCUGUGGAGUUUCUCUUUUCCCCAUUUGAAGAACCUCAUCCAUUCCUCCUCAUCCCCAUACCUCAACCAAUUUAAUGGAGAAAAAUAAUAUG